rnacentral:tRNA from 1 species
GCCGCGGUGGUCUAGCGGUUAGGACGCUGGCCUUGUAAUCCUGGGGUCUCGGGUUCGAUUCCCGGCGGUGCCC